UACGAAGGGGGCUAGCGUUGCUCGGAAUGACUGGGCGUAAAGGGCGCGUAGGCGGCUUGCACCGUCAGAUGUGAAAUCCCCGGGCUUAACCUGGGAAUGGCAUUUGGGACUGCAAGGCUUGAGUGCGGCAGAGGAGACUGGAAUUCCUGGUGUAGCAGUGAAAUGCGUAGAUAUCAGGAGGAACACCGAUGGCGAAGGCAGGUCUCUGGGCUGACACUGGCGCUCAUGCACGAAAGCGUGGGGAGCAAACAGG
rnacentral:rRNA from 1 species